ACAUCUACGACAACUAGCUGGACCUACAAA
rnacentral:sRNA from 1 species